ACGAAGACAAAGACGAAGGCUUCCAGAAGACCCCCUAGAAAAUCCUCGGGAUCUCUAUAAAAUUAAAAUGAUUCUUGCCGGGUGUUCUAUUGUGCGGUAAACGUGAAAAAGUCACAUCCCGUGUAUACGUUCAACGAUAAUAUUAUUGUUAUUUUUCAACAAAUGUGUUUACGCGGAGGGACGGGAUAUUAUAAUAUUUUGUUAUGCUGUACGUUUUUUACAAACGCUAAAAAAAUAAAAUCAUCGCGAUUUUCAUAUGAAAAAAUAACCAAUCGCAUCAGCCGUAUAAAGGCCCGCCGUGCCGUUCCGCAGUGUACAAACUUAUCGUCUGCAGGUGUCGGGAUGUUUAAAAAAAAGCAAGAGCAAUGUCCCGGUUAGUAGCAGGUCGCCGUCGUCGCCG